rnacentral:tRNA from 1 species
GGUCCGGUAGCUCAGCUGGAUAGAGCAACAGCCUUCUAAGCUGUAGGCCAUGCGUUCGAAUCGCAUCCGGAUCACCA